rnacentral:rRNA from 1 species
GAUGAACGCUGGCGGCGUGCUUAACACAUGCAAGUCGAACGGAAAGGCCCAAGCUUGCUUGGGUGCUCGAGUGGCGAACGGGUGAGUAACACGUGGGUGAUCUGCCCUGCACUUCGGGAUAAGCCUGGGAAACUGGGUCUAAUACCGGAUAGGACCACUUCUUGGAUGUUGUGGUGGAAAGUUUUUUCGGUGUGGGGUGAGCUCGCGGCCUAUCAGCUUGUUGGUGGGGUAAUGGCCUACCAAGGCGUCGACGGGUAGCCGGCCUGGGAGGGUGUACCGCCACAUUGGGACUGGGAUACGGCCCAGACUCCUACGGGAGGCAGCAGGGGGGAAUAUUGCACAAUGGGCGCAAGCCUGAUGCAGCGACGCCGCGUGGGGGAUGACGGCCUUCGGGUUGGAAACUCCUUUCGCUAGGGACGAAGCGUUUUGUGACGGUACCUGGAGAAGAAGCACCGGCUAACUACGUG